AACUGCAUUCCUCCGUUUCAUAGCCCAUUCCCUUUUACGCUCUCCCAUAACAACGAAACACAGACACGCAAUUGAUAUUACAUAUAACAUAUACACCCUCUUACAUACAUUACCCAGAAGUGUACUGAGAUGUGGCGGUGCGUGUCGCGUGGCCUCCGCAUUCCAUCGAAGAAAUCUACGGACUGCAACUCCCUCCGACGCCUCUUUUCAACUCAAUCCAAUGUUGGAGGGUCAUCAUACACAGUGGUGGAUCAUACCUAUGAUGCUGUUGUGGUGGGCGCAGGUGGUGCAGGCCUGCGAGCGGCAAUUGGGUUGUCCGAGCAUGGAUUCAAUACAGCUUGCAUUACCAAACUAUUUCCUACUCGGUCCCACACUGUUGCAGCUCAGGGUGGAAUAAAUGCUGCAUUAGGAAAUAUGACCGAAGAUGAUUGGAGGUGGCACAUGUAUGAUACAGUUAAGGGAAGCGAUUGGCUAGGUGAUCAGGACGCCAUUCAGUACAUGUGUAGGGAAGCACCAAAAGCAGUUAUAGAGCUUGAAAAUUAUGGGCUACCAUUCUCCAGGACUGAAGAUGGAAAGAUUUACCAACGUGCAUUUGGUGGUCAAAGCCUAAACUUUGGAAAAGGUGGACAAGCAUAUCGUUGUGCAUGUGCUGCAGAUCGAACUGGGCAUGCUUUGUUGCAUACUCUUUAUGGCCAGGCUAUGAAACACAAUACACAAUUUUUUGUGGAAUACUUUGCCUUGGAUUUACUUAUGGGUAAAGAUGGUAGCUGCCAAGGUGUAAUUGCCUUGAAUAUGGAGGAUGGGACAUUACAUAGGUUCCGUGCUCCAUCAACAAUUCUAGCUACAGGGGGUUAUGGUAGGGCAUACUUCUCUGCUACCUCUGCUCACACUUGCACUGGAGAUGGAAAUGCUAUGGUUGCUCGAGCUGGGCUGCCUCUUGAGGAUCUGGAGUUCGUCCAGUUCCAUCCAACGGGUAUAUAUGGUGCAGGUUGUCUCAUUACUGAAGGGUCUAGGGGUGAAGGUGGCAUUCUUAGGAAUAGUGAAGGUGAAAGAUUCAUGGAACGUUAUGCCCCAACAGCUAAGGAUCUUGCAUCAAGAGAUGUUGUUUCGAGAUCUAUGACGAUGGAGAUCCGGGAAGGACGUGGUGUAGGACCCUUGAAAGAUCACAUCUAUCUUCACUUAAAUCACUUACCUCCUGAGGUUCUCAAGGAGAGACUUCCUGGUAUAUCUGAAACUGCUGCUAUUUUUGCUGGUGUCGAUGUUACAAAAGAGCCAAUCCCUGUUUUACCUACUGUCCAUUAUAACAUGGGUGGGAUCCCCACGAAUCAUUAUGGAGAGGUGGUUACCAUCAAAGAUGAUGAUCCAGAUGCAGUGAUUCCUGGACUUUUAGCUGCUGGGGAAGCUGCCUGUGCAUCUGUUCAUGGCGCUAAUCGACUUGGUGCAAAUUCUCUUCUUGACAUUGUUGUAUUUGGACGGGCUUGUGCAAACAGGGUUGCUGAGAUCCGUAGACCAGGAGAGAGUCAAAAACCACUGGAACAGGAUGCUGGAGAGAGAACUAUUGCAUGGUUGGACAAUCUUAGAAAUUCAAAUGGUUCCCUUCCCACCUCGAAUAUCCGGUUGAACAUGCAACGGAUUAUGCAAAGCAAUGCUGCUGUAUUUCGCACACAAGAAACAUUAGAAGAAGGUUGUCAGUUGAUUGAUAAAGCAUGGGAGAGCUUUCAUGAUGUCAAGUUGAAGGACAGAAGCUUGAUAUGGAACUCAGACUUGAUAGAGACUAUUGAGUUGGAAAACCUUUUAAUUAAUGCAUGUAUCACUAUGCACUCUGCUGAAGCGAGGAAAGAAAGUAGAGGAGCCCAUGCACGUGAAGAUUUUACGUUGUUGCAGAAAAGAGAUGAUGAAAACUGGAUGAAACAUACUUUGGGAUAUUGGGAGAACGAAAAGGUUAGGCUUGCCUACAGGCCAGUUCACAUGAAUACGCUGGAUGAUGAAGUGGAGUCAUUUCCCCCAAAGGCCCGAGUAUAUUAAUCCGUUUGCUCACUAGGGAAGACUGGCUGGCUCAAGACAUUGAUUUUUCUAAUGCCGUUAAAGGGCUUGAUGGUGUCACCACGAGCCUUGGAAGUUCUGUUUUAUGCUGUGCAAUAAAUAAAAGAUGGUUGGUGUGGUUAUUCAAUUUGGUUUGUCAGGUUAGGAAUGUUAAGGAAAGUUGGGCUUGAUGGUGUCACCACGAGCCUUGGAAGUUCUGUUUUAUGCUGUGCAAUAAAUAAAAGAUGGUUGGUGUGGUUAUUCAAUUUGGUUUGUGAGAUUAGGAAUGUUAAGGAAAGUUUGCAAUCUUGUGAUAACUUGGAUCAGAUCUUGUAAUAAAAUGGAAUAAUGUUAUUUGCAGUUGCUCA